CAGAGGGGGCAAGCGUUGUUCGGAAUUACUGGGCGUAAAGGGCGCGUAGGCGGCCUUCUAAGUCGAACGUGAAAUCCCCGGGCUCAACCCGGGAACUGCGUCCGAGACUGGAAGGCUUGAAUCCGGGAGAGGGAUGUGGAAUUCCAGGUGUAGCGGUGAAAUGCGUAGAUAUCUGGAGGAACAUCGGUGGCGAAGGCGGCAUCCUGGACCGGUAUUGACGCUGAGGCGCGAAAGCCAGGGGAGCAAAACGGGAUUAGAUACCCCGGUAGUCCUGGCCCUAAACGAUGAAUGCUUGGUGUGGCGGGUAUCGAUCCCUGCCGUGCCGAAGCUAACGCAUUAAGCAUUCCGCCUGGGGAGUACGGUCGCAAGGCUG
rnacentral:rRNA from 1 species